rnacentral:lncRNA from 1 species
GUGGGGUUUAGGAUUUAGGGUUUAGGGUUUAGGGUUUAGAGUUUAGGAUUUAGGGUUUAGAGUUUAGGGUUUAGGGUUUAGAGUUUAGGGUUUACGGUUUAGAGUUUAGGGUUUCGGUUUAGGGUUUAGGGUUUAGAGUUUAGGGUUUAGAGUUUAGGGUUUAGGGUUUAGAGUUGAGAAAUGAAGUUUUGGGGAUAAG